GGUCUUAUCUGGUCCGCCCAAUGCUGCUCUUCUGAGAGCAAUCGCUCUGACAGCUCUCUCUAGUCUCUACUGGGAAACAGCUAAAAGUCCUUCUGGAGGCUUUGCAUUUGAACUCCUAUGCUAUGACUGGUUGCGGACUUGAAGGGAACGCCUUCCUGACAUCCAGGAAAAAGAGGCAGUAGAGAUCUACUGGAAACAGUGGAGAGGGAGGAGAUGAUAUGCAGCAAAAGGCUGAGCCGGAUGGUUACUGCUCCGUGCGGAACGUGUUCUAUCAGGUGUAACAUCUACCAUUGGUUGUACAUGACAGAGACCUCCUCCACCUCUUUGCUGUCUUGCUAGUCAAUCCUUCUGAUCAGGUCAUUUCCUAAAUAGUGAAAGGAUCAUGCCAGCCCACAUCAAACACCUGAUCAAGAGCUUGUGAACCUCACUGCUGCGGACACCUGUGUGAUAUUCGACUCUGACUGGAACCCUCAAAAUGACCUGCAGGCUCAAGCUCGGUGUCAUCGUUUUGGCCAGUCUAAGGCGGUGGAGGUGUACCGUCUGAUCACUAGAAACUAUGAGAGGGAAAAGCUGGAUAAAGCUAGUCUGAAGCUCGGGCUGGACCGUGCUGUCCUGCAGAGCAUGAGUUGGAACAAAGAAGGCAACAACAACGGGCCGGUCCAGCAGUUCUCCAAGAAGGAGAUCGAGGACCUGCUGAGGAAAGGAGCCUACGCCGCCAUCAUUGACGAGAACGACGAAGGCAAUCGCUUCUGCUAGGAGGACAUCGACCAGAUCCUGCAGCGAAGAGCCACCAUCAUCACCAUCACCAGGUAUGUUCUUAGCAGCACUAGCCACUUGCUCUUUGUGAGAUACCAAGUACUUGGUUAUUUGAAAUGUAAUAUUGAUGAUGUAAUAAUUAAAACUAGGGAUGGGUA